GACGAACGCUGGCGGCGUGCCUAAUACAUGCAAGUCGAACGGUCUUUUCUAUGGAAGCUUGCUUCCGCUGAGAAGAUAGUGGCGGACGGGUGAGUAACGCGUGGGGAACCUGCCCUAUACAGGGGGAUAACAGCUGGAAACGGCUGCUAAUACCGCAUAAGCGCACAGAAUCGCAUGAUUCAGUGUGAAAAGCCCUGGCAGUAUAGGAUGGUCCCGCGUCUGAUUAGCUGGUUGGUGAGGUAACGGCUCACCAAGGCGACGAUCAGUAGCCGGCUUGAGAGAGUGAACGGCCACAUUGGGACUGAGACACGGCCCAAACUCCUACGGGAGCAGCAGUGGGAA
rnacentral:rRNA from 1 species